UACUGGAGGGGCUACGCAUCCCCCUGAGCCGUUUUAGUAUGUUGAUGUUUGCUGUUAGGAAAUUGAUAAUUCUUAGCAUGUAGACGAUCUUUCCUAAGCAGCCUGAACGGCCACGGCUCUGUGCGCAGGCACCCUGGGAAGCACAGGCUGCAUGCUUACCUUCGCUCCUCUCGGAGCUUCAAGCCCAGGAAAACUCCUGUUCAAACACAUGGGGAUGGAAAAUGAGGCUUGUUCUAAUAAGAAACUAAAUCACGAAGACAGAAAGCUUCUGGCAUCUCCAUCUCGUUGGCUCCUACCUCCAUCUAUGGCAUGUUUACAAGAAAACAUUUAUCGCCGGAGUGCUUGCCGGCAAUAAGGGAGGAGAUGAGAGCAACAGCUUUUAAGCGGCGGUCUCCACGCUUGGCCACCAGGAGGAAACCCAGGGUAGCCCCAAAAAUUACUGCCUGGCCACAGCGAGCUCAGAGUGAGGCUGAGAAGCAGAGCGGUGAGCCGCCUUGGAGGAGCUGGGCUCACUGGCUCUGGCCAGCUCAGGACCCGGCACCCUCUUGCCCCAUCCGGGCAUCGUGGCUGCCCACCUUGAAGCGGUGUGCUUCCAACAGCCGACGUCUCCUGCCUGGUGGUCUGAUGGUGAGGAUGAAAUGUUGCUCGUAGGGCUUUGAAACGACUUGGACACCUGCUCCCUGUAGAAGUCAAGAUGUGGCCGUACCCUGCACUCACACAGUGACUUAAUGAUAUCUCCUGUUUCUGCAGUGGUGCAGGGGCUGGGAUGGGGGCUGUGGCUGAGUGCUCUCAGCCUGCACCAUGAAAGACCUUCAGCUAAGUAACCUCUAGCUGUAAUGCUGCGGAUGGGAAGAGACAGACAACCCCCUUCCCGGAGACCUGGAGGAAUAGAUGAAAGGUGGGAGAGGCAGACGGGUAUCAGGAGCUGGGCUGGGGUCACUAGAUGGUGCUGUUGAUCUUGAAAUGGGAACAGACAGCUCAGAGGAAGGCAUCUCCUGAAGAUUGCACCCAGAACACCUGCCCAAAAUUAUGUCUGACUGACAGCAUCUCACCUGCUUCCCAAACACCACGUAGACUUGCCCUUCAUGCUCUGGCACUGAAGCCAUAGAAAUGAACUACAUCAAACGUGGGAAGUUCAGAAAUUGGAUGAGUGCUGUGGUCCCACCUCACAGCCUUAUCUCUGCCCUUCAAGAGCCUGCAGGAACAGCGCAUGGGGGAGGAUAUUUUAAAGCCUGGACCGCAGAAGAAAUACAUGUGAAAAGUGACCACCAGAACAGGCUACUUUAUGUGGAGUACCACGUAUUACCUCCCGUCUCCAUGCCUUUGGUUGUGACUGAGCCACGGUUGCCUGUAGACAGCCAGGAGAGCUCAUGCACUGAUGCAGAACAUCAUUUCGGGAUCAGGUUUGUUGGGUUUAACAAGCAGAAGGCAGUUGUGAGCUGGCAGCAGGUAUAGCAGUGGUGCAGGGCAGCGAACGAUAUCGUGCUGGGCAGUGGUCUCACCCUUGGGACUAGCAGCGCACAGAAAGUGUCAAAGUGUGUAAAGUUUUAGGGGCAAUGUUUUCCAGGCAAAAAUUCCCAAAGACAGUGCAGGUGGAGGAGCCGUGCACAAGGCAUGCCCCGGGGUCAUGGUUCCUGGGGAGGAAACAGCAGCUGGGAGUGCUGGUAGCGACCUGGGUCUGAAAUGCUGCUGCAAAGCAGGCAGAUGUGCACGGUGUACAAAGUUGUUAGAAUUCAGUUUAUAUUCUGAUGACACCCUGUUUAAGGACCAGAGACUCUCAUUUGGUAAGGACGGGCCUGAAUAUUGGUAAGAGCUGGUGAAAAAGUUUAGGACACCAUGUCCCUUUGAACUGUAUCCCGUACACAGCUUUUACCUGUUGUUCCCUUUCGAGGUGUGGCUUUUACUCAUACCCAGCAUGAAGACAGCUGAACAAAGACAGCUCUUGCUGCUCAUCCCUGCAUCAGGCCAUAUAACUCAAUGGAAAAAGCAGAUUUUUAACACCCCUUCCCAGAGUGUGGCCCCGCUAACCCAGGUACUCCACUAUCUAGCUCCUGUGUCACUCAGAGCCCUGAUCCCAGAACGUAUGAAGGUCUCUGUAUUGCUGAUAUGGCCCAAAUCACCCCAAGAAUCCAACUUUUACUCUUUAGUAUUAAAAACAACCAGCUGAAACCUAGGCCCAUGCCAUCCAUUUGGGCAUGAGCAGAGCCAUAUCUGAGCCUAAGCUGUACACACACACACA